rnacentral:rRNA from 1 species
GACGAACGCUGGCGGCGUGCUUAACACAUGCAAGUCGAACGAUGAACUUGGAGCUUGCUCUGGGGGAUUAGUGGCGAACGGGUGAGUAACACGUGAGUAACCUGCCCUGGACUCUGGGAUAACUUCGAGAAAUCGGAGCUAAUACCGGAUAGGACCUUGCACCGCAUGGUGUGGGGUGGAAAGUUUUUCGGUUUGGGAUGGACUCGCGGCCUAUCAGCUUGUUGGUGAGGUAAUGGCUCACCAAGGCGUCGACGGGUAGCCGGCCUGAGAGGGUGACCGGCCACACUGGGACUGAGGCACGGCCCAAACUCCUACGGGAGGCAGCAGUGGGGAAUAUUGCACAAUGGGCGCAAGCCUGAUGCAGCAACGCCGCGUGCGGGAUGACGGCCUUCGGGUUGUAAACCGCUUUUAGUAGGGAAGAAGCCUUCGGGUGACGGUACCUGCAGAAAAAGGACCGGCUAACUACGUGCCAGCCGCCGCAGUAACAC